GGGGUCUGGAAUCCUCCAGCCUGGACCAGCUUCCCUCCGCUGGUGCUGGUCGCACUCGGUGGUGGUGGGCUGGCCUGGGAGCUGCCCCUCACAGUGGGUAAGGUUAGCACAGCCAGAAAGGAGGCCCCGAAAAUGCUUGGUGCUUACACAAAGCUGCCAUCUGUCAAGAAGUGCUGGCCACUUAAACCUGGAGUGACUCAUACAGUCACUAAUUAAUCCCGGAAGGCAGCAGGAGCUAAGUGGAAAUGCAUUCUUUUAAAGAGAU
rnacentral:lncRNA from 1 species